CCCCCACCUAAUCAGGGUCAAAUAUAAAAAUCAUAGAUGAUUAUGGACAGUAGGAAAUUACUAUAAACUAUCAUAAUAUGAUAGAUUUAGGACCCCUCUCAGAGUCAAUUGGUCGAUCCGAGUCUAUCAGACAUUUGGAACCUCAAUUGGUCCAAAAGAUUUUUAGAGAGACAAACAAUCUAGAGAAAGGAAGUUAUAGAGAGAGAAAAUGGGGAGAAAAACUAAGAAAAGUUAGUGAAUAGGGAAGGG
rnacentral:lncRNA from 1 species